AUAAUGAUACUUCCGUCCCUUUUCUUUGGGGCGGCUCGGAGCGAUCCUCGGAGGGGUGAGAGUCCCAUGA
rnacentral:ncRNA from 2 species